GACGAACGCUGGCGGCGUGCUUAACACAUGCAAGUCGAACGGAAAGGCCCUGCUUUUGUGGGGUGCUCGAGUGGCGAACGGGUGAGUAACACGUGAGUAACCUGCCCUUGACUUUGGGAUAACUUCAGGAAACUGGGGCUAAUACCGGAUAGGAGCUCCUGCUGCAUGGUGGGGGUUGGAAAGUUUCGGCGGUUGGGGAUGGACUCGCGGCUUAUCAGCUUGUUGGUGGGGUAGUGGCUUACCAAGGCUUUGACGGGUAGCCGGCCUGAGAGGGUGACCGGCCACAUUGGGACUGAGAUACGGCCCAGACUCCUACGGGAGGCAGCAGUGGGGAAUAUUGCACAAUGGGCAGAAGCCUGAUGCAGCAACGCCGCGUGCGGGAUGACGGCCUUCGGGUUGUAAACCGCUUGCGCCUGUGACGAAGCGUGAGUGACGGUAAUGGGUAAAGAAGCACCGGCUAACUACGUG
rnacentral:rRNA from 1 species